CUGGGAAGGGUGAGGCAUCUCUCAAGUUUGAAGAUGGGGAAUAGGGCCUUCCGCAUGUGUAAGGCGUUUAACAAAUGUCGGUCCUAAGAAGUGUCAAGAAAACGUUCCCAACAAUUUGGAGAACAUGGCAGAAGGACUCAAGUGGUAGUGGCCCUCGAAGAAGGGCCAGGCCUGGGAAAAGGAGUCAAUUUCCAGAAACAUGGCACCAAUGAGAUGAAUGAUGGUGAUGCAGGCCUGGGAAAUGAAGAAACUGCAGGAAGACAGAAAGAGCUUUGGUGAAAGGGAGAUGUCCAGAAACCAUGACCAAACAUGACAAUUCUACCUUCAUUCUUAAGAUUCCCCCUCUCCCAACCUGUACAGAGAAAGAACUACACAGCAACAGGCAGAGAAUGAGGUGACAGAAUAAUGGCUA